rnacentral:sRNA from 11 species
AUAACGCCGGUUGCAGCCCGAGAAAUCAGGCGUGGCUGGUGACUUUUUAGUCACCAGCUU